UACGUAGGGUGCAAGCGUUGUCCGGAAUUAUUGGGCGUAAAGAGCUCGUAGGCGGCCUGUUGCGUCCGCUGUGAAAUCCCGGGGCUCAACCCCGGGCGUGCAGUGGAUACGGGCUGGCUGGAGGCAGGCAGGGGAGAACGGAAUUCCUGGUGUAGCGGUGAAAUGCGCAGAUAUCAGGAGGAACACCGGUGGCGAAGGCGGUUCUCUGGGCCUGUACUGACGCUGAGGAGCGAAAGCGUGGGGAGCGAACAGG
rnacentral:rRNA from 1 species